GACAUCUGUGUAGCUGGGCCUGUAGGAGGAUCGCUGGGUGCACCGGCUCGCCAGUCUGAGGCAGCCUGCAGCAGGGCACAGCCCUGGUCCAUCUUCCUGCAAAGUUCUACCCAAGGGCAAGUGAAACCUUACUUCUUGCAUUCAGCCUUUGCCUUUCUCAGGUUCCCACAUGCCACAUGAGAAUCAUCUGCACACUUAAAUCCAGCAAAUGCCUGUAGGCAUUGCACUUAACAGCUCAGAGGAUGAUUCAGAGGAAGCAAUUUCCCCAGGGGAAGGUAAUCAUCUGUUGGUGUGAAAAGGCAGGCUCUCAUUAGCAUUGGAAAUGGAGGAGAAUGUUGCUGGAUCCACAGAGGCAGGACUGCAGUGUGUGGCUGCAUUACAAUAUCCACAGCUGGAAGGUGGGACUCCCAGACUCCCACGCCUACUCAGAACUCACCCACAGAACCAGCUCAAAUGGCAGGAAGGUGGACAUUCAACUUUGGAGCCUCCCCACUCCCACCCAGAUGAGUGCCUGCCCUGUGGUACCAGCCUCCUAUACAGUUCCUGUGCCUGCUUCCUCAAAGCCAUCCACCGAGGAGUCCAUGAACUCAACACAUUUGGGAUUAAACUGGCAUCACAGAGGCUGAGAGGAUCGGGAUCCUGCCACUACUCAGAGGACCUGGGUGGCUCCUGGAGUGCUUGCCUUUGCCUCCUGCUUGUCUGUUCGGCCUCUGCAUGAGUACAGAUGCUCCCUGGGAGAGGACUGGCCUGGAGGACGUGGAACUGCAGCCAGAGUGGUCCUUCUGUGGCCUCCUUUCCACUACAGACCAUCAGAGGAGUGAGAACCCAAAAGGAGGCCAGUUCAGCCAGCCCCGGACACACCCAGGACACAUGCCCACACAGUGAGAAGCUAGUGCUGCUCAAAGCCAUCUGAAGCUGGGAAAGAAAACCCAAGUUCAGUUUACCAAGAUGUCUGUAUUAUCUAUAAAAACUGAACUGUAAGGAGUCACUGAUACCGGGCAUGAUGGUAAUCCGAUGGCUUGCUGGCAUGUGGAGGGUAGACGGCUUCAGCCCAUUGAGGCCACAGUAAGACACUGAGUGGCACGUGGGAAGUCAUUUGUAAGGCCUCAGAAACCUUGCCACUUUGGAACGCAGCAAUCGUAUGAAAGAUCUUGGAAACA